UACGAGGGGGGCGAGCGUUGUUCGGAAUUAUUGGGCGUAAAGGGUGCGUAGGCGGUUUGGUAAGUCUUAUGUGAAAUCUACAGGCUCAACUUGUAGUCUGCAUGAGAAACUGCCGGGCUUGAGUAUGGGAGAGGUGAGUGGAAUUCCUGGUGUAGCGGUGAAAUGCGUAGAUAUCAGGAGGAACACCUGUGGCGAAAGCGGCUAUCUGGACAGAGUCUGACGCUGAGGCGCGAAAGCUAGGGGAGCAAACAGG
rnacentral:rRNA from 1 species